UACGUAGGACCCAAGCGUUAUCCGGAAUUACUGGGCGUAAAGAGUUGCGUAGGUGGCAUAGUAAGUGAAUAGUGAAAUCGUGCGGCUCAACCGUAUAGACAUUAUUUAAACUGCUAGGCUUGAGUGAGAUAGAGGUAACUGGAAUUCCAAGUGUAGGAGUGAAAUCCGUAGAUAUUUGGAGGAACACCGAUGGCGUAGGCAGGUUACUGGAUCUCAACUGACACUGAGGCACGAAAGCGUGGGGAGCAAACGGG
rnacentral:rRNA from 1 species